rnacentral:rRNA from 1 species
UGGGGAAUAUUGCACAAUGGGCGCAAGCCUGAUGCAGCAACGCCGCGUGAGGGACGACGGCCUUCGGGUUGUAAACCUCUUUUGGCAGGGAAGAAGCGAAAGUGACGGUACCUGCAGAAAAAGCACCGGCUAACUACGUGCCAGCAGCCGCGGUGAUACGUAGGGUGCAAGCGUUGUCCGGAAUUAUUGGGCGUAAAGAGCUCGUAGGCGGUUUGUCGCGUCCGCUGUGAAAACCCGAGGCUCAACCUCGGGCCUGCAGUGGGUACGGGCAAACUAGAGUGCGGUAGGGGAGAUUGGAAUUCCUGGUGUAGCGGUGGAAUGCGCAGAUAUCAGGAGGAACACCGAUGGCGAAGGCAGAUCUCUGGGCCGUAACUGACGCUGAGGAGCGAAAGCAUGGGGAGCGAACA